GCCAGACUCCUACGGGAGGCAGCAGUGGGGAAUAUUGCACAAUGGGGGAAACCCUGAUGCAGCGACGCCGCGUGGAGGAAGAAGGUCUUCGGAUUGUAAACUCCUGUCCUUGGGGACGAUAAUGACGGUACCCAAGGAGGAAGCACCGGCUAACUACGUGCCAGCAGCCGCGGUAAAACGUAGGUGGCAAGCGUUGUCCGGAUUUACUGGGUGUAAAGGGCGUGCAGCCGGAGAGACAAGUCAGAUGUGAAAUCCGCAGGCUCAACCUGCGAACUGCAUUUGAAACUGUUUCCCUUGAGUAUCGGAGAGGUCAGCGGAAUUCCUAGUGUAGCGGUGAAAUGCGUAGAUAUUAGGAAGAACACCAGUGGCGAAGGCGGAUGACUGGACGACAACUGACGGUGAGGCGCGAAAGCGUGGGGAGCAAACAGGAUUAGAUACCCGUGUA
rnacentral:rRNA from 1 species